rnacentral:rRNA from 1 species
AUUGAACGCUGGCGGCAGGCCUAACACAUGCAAGUCGAACGAGUGGCGGACGGGUGAGUAAUGUCUGGGAAACUGCCUGAUGGAGGGGGAUAACUACGGGAAACGGUAGCUAAUACCGCAUACCAUCGGAUGUGCCCAGAUGGGAUUAGCUAGUAGGUGGGGUAACGGCUCACCUAGGCGACGAGCCCUAGCUGGGCUGAGAGGAUGACCAGCCACCAUGCAAGUGAGACAGUGUCCAGACUCCUACGGGAGGCAGCAGUGGGGAAUAUUGCACAAUGGGCGCAAGCCUUAUGCAGCCAUCCCGCGUGUAUGAAGAAGGCCUGCGGGUUGUAAAGUAAUUUCAGCGGGGAGGAGUUACCCGCAGAAGAAGCACCGGCUAACUCCGUGCCAGCCGCCGCGGUAAUUC